GUAAGAUAACGAUAUAGCCGCCAGUAUGCCAAGAGAAUCGACAGAUGGCGCUUUUGUGUCCAAUCCCUGUAUGAACAAUGGCCGCUAAAACAGUCUUUAAUUUCGUUGGAAUUUUGCUCUUUGUAGGUAUACAGGCCCAGGACAAUAUUCGAUGUGAUAUGAGUGACCGCUAUGGUACAUGCGAUUCAGGGUUUUGCUGCGUUCGAGACCAAUUCCUAGCGUCUUACGUUUACUGUAAACGGAUACCAACAGAAACCCACCAUUGCAUCACGGUACAGUCAGAAUCGGAGUGCGCAUGCGCCAGUGGCCUAAAGUGUAAACCGAACAUCAAUGUCCCUACUUACACUUCCGUAUAUGGUACAUGCAAAGCAGACGUCGACGAAAAUUUCCCUCCUAGUACACUUCCCACCAGUACUCAACACAAACACACGCAUGCGCAGCAUUAGUCGGCAAUGGUUUUGUUUUUAACUAUGGAAAAACAUUGUUGGUUAAUUGGUGAUUAAAUUGAGAUGAGCAAA